CCUACGGGAGGCCGCAGUGGGGAAUAUUGCACAAUGGGGGAAACCCUGAUGCAGCGACGCCGCGUGAGCGAUGAAGUAUUUCGGUAUGUAAAGCUCUAUCAGCAGGGAAGAAAAUGACGGUACCUGACUAAGAAGCCCCGGCGAACUACGUGCCAGCAGCCGCGGUAAUACGUAGGGGGCAAGCGUUAUCCGGAUUUACUGGGUGGAAAGGGAGCGUAGACGGUCCUGCAAGUCAGAUGUGAAAGCCCGGGGCUCAACCCCGGGACUGCAUUUGGAACUGUAAGGCUAGAGUGUCGGAGAGGCAGGCGGAAUUCCUAGUGUAGCGGUGAAAUGCGUAGAUAUUAGGAGGAACACCAGUGGCGAAGGCGGCCUGCUGGACGAUGACUGACGUUGAGGCUCGAAAGCGUGGGGAGCAAACAGGAUUAGAUACCCUUGUAGUC
rnacentral:rRNA from 1 species